rnacentral:tRNA from 3 species
CGGGGCGUAGCUCAGCCUGGUAGAGCACCUGCUUUGGGAGCAGGGGGUCGUAGGUUCGAAUCCUGCUGCCCCGACCA